rnacentral:rRNA from 1 species
CAGGGUGGAUUAGUGGCGAACGGGUGAGUAACACGUGAGUAACCUGCCCCCGACUCUGGGAUAAGCCCGGGAAACUGGGUCUAAUACCGGAUAUGACUUCCUACUGCAUGGUGGGUUGUUGAAAGAUUUAUCGGUGGGGGAUGGACUCGCGGCCUAUCAGCUUGUUGGUGAGGUAAUGGCUCACCAAGGCGACGACGGGUAGCCGGCCUGAGAGGGUGACCGGCCACACUGGGACUGAGACACGGCCCAGACUCCUACGGGAGGCAGCAGUGGGGAAUAUUGCACAAUGGGCGGAAGCCUGAUGCAGCGACGCCGCGUGAGGGAUGACGGCCUUCGGGUUGUAAACCUCUUUCAGUAGGGAAGAAGCGAAAGUGACGGUACCUGCAGAAGAAGCGCCGGCUAACUACGUGCCAGCAGCCGCGGUAAUACGUAGGGCGCAAGCGUUAUCCGGAUUUAUUGGGCGUAAAGAGCUCGUAGGCGGUUUGUCGCGUCUGCCGUGAAAGUCCGAGGCUCAACCUCGGAUCUGCGGUGGGUACGGGCAGACUAGAGUGAUGUAGGGGAGACUGGAAUUCCUGGUGUAGCGGUGAAAUGCGCAGAUAUCAGGAGGAACACCGAUGGCGAAGGCAGGUCUCUGGGCAUUUACUGACGCUGAGGAGCGAAAGCAUGGGGAGCGAACAGGAUUAGAUACCCUGGUAGUCCAUGCCGUAAACGUUGGGCACUAGGUGUGGGGGACAUUCCACGUUUUCCGCGCCGUAGCUAACGCAUUAAGUGCCCCGCCUGGGGAGUACGGCCGCAAGGCUAAAACUCAAAGGAAUUGACGGGGGCCCGCACAAGCGGCGGAGCAUGCGGAUUAAUUCGAUGCAACGCGAAGAACCUUACCAAGGCUUGACAUGUGCCAGACCGCUCCAGAAGAUGGGGUUUCCCUUCGGGGCUGGUUCACAGGUGGUGCAUGGUUGUCGUCAGCUCGUGUCGUGAGAUG